AAAAAAAAUGAAUGUUCGGGAAACCAGUUGCAACACAAACAGCUACCCAAAAAGAUGGCCGUCAAAUUCGCAACUGAGGGAACUUGCAUGCGCAGCAUUUGGGGAAAGUAAAUACCAACUCCAAGGAUUCAGAGCAGGCCGGAAAGCAGAGAUGACUGCGGGGGAAUGGAAAACCAGAACGUGAGAAUACAAUAAAAAGAGGUAAAUCCCUACGGUAAAGCAACCCUGCUGAAGUAGCCCAGGGUUCAAAUAUUGGACUCUGGAGGUCAGGUAGAGAUUCCAAUUAAGCAACAUUAGAG